AAGAGCCACUGGCAAGCUGUGGCUACUCAGCACUUGAACCAUGGCUAAUGCCACUGGUUCAAAUGAUAAUAGGUUGGAUAUAUUAGGUAAAAUUUUAAAUGUCUGAAACAUUUUUAGCCCUGGCCCAGGUAGCUCAGUUGGUUGGGUAUCAUC